GACGAACGCUGGCGGCGUGCCUAAUACAUGCAAGUUGAGCGCUGAAGGUUGGUACUUGUACCGACUGGCUGAGCAGCGAACGGGUGAGUAACGCGUGGGGAAUCUGCCUUUGAGCGGGGGACAACAUUUGGAAACGAAUGCUAAUACCGCAUAAAAACUUUAAACACAAGUUUUAAGUUUGAAAGAUGCAAUUGCAUCACUCAAAGAUGAUCCCGCGUUGUAUUAGCUAGUUGGUGAGGUAAAGGCUCACCAAGGCGAUGAUACAUAGCCGACCUGAGAGGGUGAUCGGCCACAUUGGGACUGAGACACGGCCCAAACUCCUACGGGAGGCAGCAGUAGGGAAUCUUCGGCAAUGGACGAAAGUCUGACCGAGCAACGCCGCGUGAGUGAAGAAGGUUUUCGGAUCGUAAAACUCUGUUGGUGGAGAAGAACGUUGGUGAGAGUGGAAAGCUCAUCAAGUGACGGUAACUACCCAGAAAGGGACGGCUAACUACGUG
rnacentral:rRNA from 1 species